rnacentral:rRNA from 1 species
CGAGCGGAACGAUGGGAGCUUGCUCCCAGGCGUCGAGCGGCGGCACGGGUGAGUAACACGUGGGAAUCUGCCCAUUAGUGGGGGAUAACUCGGGGAAACUCGAGCUAAUACCGCAUAAUCCCUACGGGGGAAAGCAGGGGAUCUUCGGACCUUGCGCUGAUGGAUGAGCCCGCGUCGGAUUAGCUUGUUGGUGGGGUAAUGGCCCACCAAGGCGACGAUCCGUAACUGGUCUGAGAGGAUGGCCAGUCACACCGGGACUGAGACACGGCCCGGACUCCUACGGGAGGCAGCAGUGGGGAAUCUUGGACAAUGGGCGCAAGCCUGAUCCAGCCAUGCCGCGUGUGUGAAGAAGGCCUUCGGGUUGUAAAGCACUUUCAGUAGGGAGGAAGGCUUUGGGCUAAUACCCUGGAGUACUUGACGUUACCUACAGAAGAAGCACCGGCUAAUUUCGUGCCAGCAGCCGCGGUAAUACGAAAGGUGCGAGCGUUAAUCGGAAUUACUGGGCGUAAAGCGCGCGUAGGCGGUGUGUUAAGUCGGAUGUGAAAGCCCAGGGCUCAACCUUGGAAUUGCAUCCGAUACUGGCACGCUAGAGUGCAGUAGAGGGAGGUGGAAUUUCCGGUGUAGCGGUGAAAUGCGUAGAGAUCGGAAGGAACACCAGUGGCGAAGGCGGCCUCCUGGACUGACACUGACGCUGAGGUGCGAAAGCGUGGGGAGCAAACAGGA